UGUGUAAUGCAAGAAAGAAAAAAGAAAAGAAAAGAAGGAACUAAAAAGUAUGAUCACUACAAUAAAAAUGGUGUAUAGCGACACUUUUAAAUAUCGGUAUAUGUCAAAAAAGAUGUUGCUAGCUAAAUUACCAACACUUUUAAAAAGUAUUGCUAUAUGUGGGGUCGCUAGGUAUAUAGUGACAAUUUAAGAGUGUCGGUAUAACUUAAAAAAAGUGCUGUUAAUUUACCAAUACUUAUUUAAGCAUUUAGCAACCACCAGAACUCUACCUCAUUAGCUGCGGUGGCGGAGAAAGAGGAGAACAAAGGGCUUUUCAUCUAGGGUUUCAGUGGAUUGAGUGAGGGGAGAAUGGGAGAUGGUGAUCGAUUUUUUUUUUCUUUUUUUGUUUGUAAUCGAGCCGAAUGGGCUGGGUGGGGUGGGUUGAGUAGAGUAACCUUUUAUUUUUAGUUGAAUUGAGCUUUAUAUUUAGGCCUUAGUGGAUUUUUUUAAAAAUUUUUGACAUAAAUAAGACACUUAAAUAAAAGUGUUCUAAAUAUAUGUCUCUAUAAUCUAAUUCUGUUGUAGUGGAUGUUGGAUUCAUCUGUUUGUUUUGAGAAGCCAACAGUCAAAGAUCAUCAGAAAUAUUCUUCUAGUUUUUCUUUUUGUUUCCUUGCUG
rnacentral:lncRNA from 1 species